UACGGGGGGGGCAAGCGUUGUCCGGAAUCAUUGGGCGUAAAGCGCGCGUAGGCGGCCCGGUAAGUCCGCUGUGAAAGUCAAAGGCUCAACCUUUGAAUGUCAGCGGAUACUGCCGGGCUAGAGUCCGGAAGAGGCGAGUGGAACUCCUGGUGUAGCGGUGGAAUGCGCAGAUAUCAGGAAGAACACCAACGGCGAAGGCAGCUCGCUGGGACGGAACUGACGCUAAGGCGCGAAAGCGUGGGGAGCGAACAGG
rnacentral:rRNA from 1 species